rnacentral:rRNA from 1 species
UGGGGAAUAUUGGACAAUGGCGCAAGCCUGAUCCAGCCAUGCCGCGUGAGUGAUGAAGGCCCCUAGGGUUGUAAAGCUCUUUCACCGGUGAAGAUAAUGACGGUAACCGGAGAAGAAGCCCCGGCUAACUUCGUGCCAGCAGCCGCGGUAAUACGAAGGGGGCUAGCGUUGUUCGGAAUUACUGGGCGUAAAGCGCACGUAGGCGGACAUUUAAGUCAGGGGUGAAAUCCCGGGGCUCAACCCCGGAACUGCCUUUGAUACUGGGCGUCUAGAGUUCGAGAGAGGUGAGUGGAAUUCCGAGUGUAGAGGUGAAAUUCGUAGAUAUUCGGAGGAACACCAGUGGCGAAGGCGGCUCACUGGCUCGAUACUGACGCUGAGGUGCGAAAGCGUGGGGAGCAAAACAGGAUUAGAUACCCUGGUAGUCCACGCCGUAAACGAUGGAAGCCAGCUGUCGGCAAGUUUACUUGUCGGUGGCGCAGCUAACGCAUUAAGCUUCCCGCCUGGGGAGUACGGUCGCAAGAUUAAAACUCAAAGGAAAUUGACGGGGUCAUAGCUGUUUCCUG